rnacentral:rRNA from 2 species
AGACCCGAAACCCGGUGAUCUAGCCAUGGGCAGGUUGAAGGUUGGGUAACACUAACUGGAGGACCGAACCGACUAAUGUUGAAAAAUUAGCGGAUGACCUGUGGCUGGGGGUGAAAGGCCAAUCAAACCGGGAGAUAGCUGGUUCUCCCCGAAAGCUAUUUAGGUAGCGCCUCGUGAAUUCAUCUCCGGGGGUAGAGCACUGUUUCGGCUAGGGGGCCAUCCCGGCUUACCAACCCGAUGCAAACUGCGAAUACCGGAGAAUGUUAUCACGGGAGACACACGGCGGGUGCUAACGUCCGUCGUGAAGAGGGAAACAACCCAGACCGCCAGCUAAGGUCCCAAAGUCAUGGUUAAGUGGGAAACGAUGUGGGAAGGCCCAGACAGCCAGGAUGUUGGCUUAGAAGCAGCCAUCAUUUAAAGAAAGCGUAAUAGCUCACUGGUCGAGUCGGCCUGCGCGGAAGAUGUAACGGGGCUAAACCAUGCACCGAAGCUGCGGCAGCGAACGUAUCACCCAAGACAACUUUACGGAGUUGACGAUUGACGGAGCGAAGCGACGUCAAAGCGUUCAUUAAAGUCGAGUUGGCUUAGGGAUACGUUCGUUGGGUAGGGGAGCGUUCUGUAAGCCUGUGAAGGUGUGUCGUGAGGCAUGCUGGAGGUAUCAGAAGUGCGAAUGCUGACAUAAGUAACGAUAAAGCGGGUGAAAAGCCCGCUCGCCGGAAGACCAAGGGUUCCUGUCCAACGUUAAUCGGGGCAGGGUGAGUCGACCCCUAAGGCGAGGCCGAAAGGCGUAGUCGAUGGGAAACGGGUUAAUAUUCCCGUACUUGGUGUUACUGCGAAGGGGGGACGGAGAAGGCUAUGUUGGCCGGGCGACGGUUGUCCCGGUUUAAGCGUGUAGGUGUGUGUUCCAGGUAAAUCCGGUUCACUUUAACACUGAGGCGUGACGACGAGGCACUACGGUGCUGAAGCAACAAAUGCCCUGCUUCCAGGAAAAGCCUCUAAGCAUCA